rnacentral:hammerhead_ribozyme from 1 species
ACUUAUCUGACGAGUCCCAAAUAGGACGAAACGCGCGUCAUGUAU